rnacentral:rRNA from 1 species
AGUCGAACGGCAGCACGGGAGCAAUCCUGGUGGCGAGUGGCGAACGGGUGAGUAAUACAUCGGAACGUGUCCUGUAGUGGGGGAUAGCCCGGCGAAAGCCGGAUUAAUACCGCAUACGCUCUACGGAGGAAAGGGGGGGAUCUCAGGACCUCCCGCUACAGGGGCGGCCGAUGGCAGAUUAGCUAGUUGGUGGGGUAAAGGCCUACCAAGGCGACGAUCUGUAGCUGGUCUGAGAGGACGACCAGCCACACUGGGACUGAGACACGGCCCAGACUCCUACGGGAGGCAGCAGUGGGGAAUUUUGGACAAUGGGCGAAAGCCUGAUCCAGCAAUGCCGCGUGUGUGAAGAAGGCCUUCGGGUUGUAAAGCACUUUUGUCCGGAAAGAAAACCUCCGCCCUAAUAUGGUGGGGGGAUGACGGUACCGGAAGAAUAAGCACCGGCUAACUACGUGCCAGCAGCCGCGGUAAUACGUAGGGUGCAAGCGUUAAUCGGAAUUACUGGGCGUAAAGCGUGCGCAGGCGGUCCGCUAAGACAGAUGUGAAAUCCCCGGGCUUAACCUGGGAACUGCAUUUGUGACUGGCGGGCUAGAGUAUGGCAGAGGGGGGUAGAAUUCCACGUGUAGCAGUGAAAUGCGUAGAGAUGUGGAGGAAUACCGAUGGCGAAGGCAGCCCCCUGGGCCAAUACUGACGCUCAUGCACGAAAGCGUGGGGAGCAAACAGGAUUAGAUACCCUGGUAGUCCACGCCCUAAACGAUGUCAACUAGUUGUUGGGGAUUCAUUUCCUUAGUAACGUAGCUAACGCGUGAAGUUGACCGCCUGGGGAGUACGGUCGCAAGAUUAAAACUCAAAGGAAUUGACGGGGACCCGCACAAGCGGUGGAUGAUGUGGAUUAAUUCGAUGCAACGCGAAAAACCUUACCUACCCUUGACAUGUAUGGAAUCCUGCUGAGAGGUGGGAGUGCCCGAAAGGGAGCCAUAACACAGGUGCUGCAUGGCUGUCGUCAGCUC